rnacentral:rRNA from 1 species
GACGAACGCUGGCGGCGUGCUUAACACAUGCAAGUCGAACGAAGUGGCGAACGGGUGAGUAACGCGUAAUCAACCUGCCCUUCAGAGGGGGACAACAGUUGGAAACGACUGCUCAUACCGCAUACUGAAGGAGGGGAUUGCGUCUGCUUAGCUAGUUGGAGGGGUAACGGCCCACCAAGGCGAUGAUCAGUAGCCGGGCGGAGAGGAUGAACGGCCAAAAUGGGAAUGAGACAAGGCCCAGAAUCCUAAGGGAGGCAGCAGUGGGGAAGCUUCGGAAAUGGAGGAAAGUCUGAAGGAGCAAAGCCGGGGGAGUGAUGACGGCCGUCGGGUUGUAAAGCUCUGUUAAGCGGGACGCGGUACCGGAAUAGAAAGCAACGGCUAACUACGUGCCAGCAGCCGCGGUAAUUC